UACGUAGGGCGCAAGCGUUGUCCGGAAUUAUUGGGCGUAAAGAGCUCGUAGGCGGCUUGUCACGUCGGGUGUGAAAGCCCGGGGCUUAACCCCGGGUCUGCAUUCGAUACGGGCAGGCUAGAGUGUGGUAGGGGAGAUCGGAAUUCCUGGUGUAGCGGUGAAAUGCGCAGAUAUCAGGAGGAACACCGGUGGCGAAGGCGGAUCUCUGGGCCGAUACUGACGCUGAGGAGCGAAAGCGUGGGGAGCGAACAGG
rnacentral:rRNA from 1 species